GCUCCUUUCACUGUUGAUGGGACCCCUUGCAGGGCAGCAGGAUGAGCCAGUCUCUCCACAGGGCGCACGGCUGUUGCUGGAAGGGAGACCCCCGAGGGCAGAGGGCGGCAGACCCGGGACGUCCCCAGCGGAGGCAGCGGACGCCGGGAGCCAGGCAUCCCGGGCGAGCCCGGCGUAAUGAGGCGCUCCCUUCUCCUGCGGGAGGCGGGGCUGCCCCUUCCCUCUCCCCCUCCCCCUCCUGGAGGCCCUGCGGGAGCCGGAGUCCAGCGCAGUUGGGCGGGGGCGUGGGGGAGUGAGGCCUUCCAGGUCGGACUGAGCCGGGGCGGGAGGAGAGUGUGAGGCCCCAGUGGCUGGGCCCUCAGGGUCUGAAUUGGGGAGCAAGUGUGGUGGGGAGGAAGGGCUCCCCGGUUUGCAGAUGGCGGGGGAGGCUAUGUCCGCGGGUCGCCCUGGAGCCCUCCGAUCUUUGCCCCGCAGCAUCUGCCCCCCAGGGGGGUCAGCAUGCUUCCGCCCUUCCCCGCGUGUGCGUCGUCUGUCCGCUCCCUCUCCAGCUCCC
rnacentral:lncRNA from 1 species